CUGUCCGAGGGUCGGCU
rnacentral:rRNA from 1 species